GAAAAUGGAACUCCGGAAGAUGUUAAAAUCCAGCUUGUCAGGGGUGGACAAAUCGAUUGCAGCAAUGUAUAAGAAAUUGCAGAAGAAUUUAGCGUCCGAGGAGUUGCUACCAUCAUUGUGGGAUAAAUGCAAG